GACGAACGCUGGCGGCGUGCCUAAUACAUGCAAGUUGAGCGAUGAAGAUUGGUGCUCGCGCCAAUUUGAAGAGCAGCGAACGGGUGAGUAACGCGUGGGGAAUCUGCCUUUGAGCGGGGGACAACAUUUGGAAACGAAUGCUAAUACCGCAUAACAACUUUAAACAUAAGUUUUAAGUUUGAAAGAUGCAAUUGCAUCACUCAAAGAUGAUCCCGCGUUGUAUUAGCUAGUUGGUGAGGUAAAGGCUCACCAAGGCGAUGAUACAUAGCCGACCUGAGAGGGUGAUCGGCCACAUUGGGACUGAGACACGGCCCAAACUCCUACGGGAGGCAGCAGUAGGGAAUCUUCGGCAAUGGACGAAAGUCUGACCGAGCAACGCCGCGUGAGUGAAGAAGGUUUUCGGAUCGUAAAACUCUGUUGGUAGAGAAGAACGUUGGUGAGAGUGGAAAGCUCAUCAAGUGACGGUAACUACCCAGAAAGGGACGGCUAACUACGUG
rnacentral:rRNA from 1 species